UUGUAGCGGAUAUAGUUUA
rnacentral:tRNA from 3 species